rnacentral:Y_RNA from 1 species
GGCUGGUCUGAAGGUAGUGAGUUAUCUCAAUUGAUUGUUCAGUCAGUUACAGAUUGAACUCCUGUUCUACACUUUUCCCCCUUCUCACUACNGCACUUGAUUCAACCUACA